rnacentral:tRNA from 1 species
UUACUGGUAGGUUAAUAUAUUAAACUUAUAGAUUGUGGUUCUGUAGAUUACUUGGUUGUAUCAGUAAC